GACGAGGUGGCCGAGUGGUUAAGGCGAUGGACCGUUAAUCCAUUGGGGCCCCCGCGUGGGUUCGAAUCCCAUCCUCGCUGACA